GAUGAACGCUGGCGGCGUGCCUAAUACAUGCAAGUCGAGCGAACAGACGAGGAGCUUGCUCCUCUGACGUUAGCGGCGGACGGGUGAGUAACACGUGGAUAACCUACCUAUAAGACUGGGAUAACUUCGGGAAACCGGAGCUAAUACCGGAUAACAUGUUGAACCGCAUGGUUCAACAGUGAAGGACGGUUUUGCUGUCACUUAUAGAUGGAUCCGCGCCGCAUUAGCUAGUUGGUAAGGUAACGGCUUACCAAGGCAACGAUGCGUAGCCGACCUGAGAGGGUGAUCGGCCACACUGGAACUGAGACACGGUCCAGACUCCUACGGGAGGCAGCAGUAGGGAAUCUUCCGCAAUGGGCGAAAGCCUGACGGAGCAACGCCGCGUGAGUGAAGAAGGUCUUCGGAUCGUAAAACUCUGUUAUUAGGGAAGAACAAAUGUGUAAGUAACUAUGCACGUCUUGACGGUACCUAAUCAGAAAGCCACGGCUAACUACGUG
rnacentral:rRNA from 1 species